rnacentral:rRNA from 1 species
AUUGAACGCUGGCGGCAUGCCUUACACAUGCAAGUCGAACGGUAACAGGGAGCUUGCUCCGCUGACGAGUGGCGAACGGGUGAGUAAUGUAUCGGAACGUACCAUUCAGUGGGGGAUAACGUAGCGAAAGUUACGCUAAUACCGCAUAUUCUGUGAGCAGGAAAGCAGGGGAUCGCAAGACCUUGCGCUGAUUGAGCGGCCGAUAUCAGAUUAGCUAGUUGGUGAGGUAAAGGCUCACCAAGGCGACGAUCUGUAGCGGGUCUGAGAGGAUGAUCCGCCACACUGGAACUGAGACACGGUCCAGACUCCUACGGGAGGCAGCAGUGGGGAAUUUUGGACAAUGGGGGCAACCCUGAUCCAGCCAUGCCGCGUGAGUGAAGAAGGCCUUCGGGUUGUAAAGCUCUUUCGGCCGGGAAAAAUCGCAUCAGUUAAUACCUGGUGUGGAUGAUGGUACCGGAAUAAGAAGACACCGGCUAACUACGUGACC